rnacentral:rRNA from 1 species
GGAUUGACACAUCGGUCGUGCCCUAAGGGGUAUGAACUGGUGUAGUCAAUUUCUCACCUUCUGGAGAACCGCGAUGCCCUUAAUUGGGUGUCACGGGGAACCAGGACCUUUACUUUGAAAAAAUUAGAGUGUUCAAAGCAGGCGUAACCCUUGCCAUUGAAUAGUAGAGCAUGGGAUAAU